rnacentral:snRNA from 1 species
AUGCUUGUUUUAGCAGCAUAUAUGCUAGGUGUAAAAUGACACAGAGAAGUUCAGUAUAAUUGCUGUACAAGGAUGACACACAAAUUCUUCAAUAAUUCUAUGUUUUU